UACGCAGGUGGCAAGCGUUGCCCGGAAUCACUGGGCGUAAAGGGUGCGUAGGCGGCAAGGCAAGUCGCAGGUCAAAGCCCGGGGCUCAACCCCGGAAGGGCCUGCGAUACUGUUUUGCUUGAGGGCCGGAGAGGCUGGCGGAAUUCCCGGUGUAGGGGUGAAAUCCGUAGAUAUCGGGAGGAACACCGGUGGGGAAGCCUGCCAGCUGGACGGUUCCUGACGCUGAGGCACGAAAGCGUGGGGAGCAAACCGG
rnacentral:rRNA from 1 species